GCGCCGGUAGCUCAGCUGGAUAGAGCAACGGCCUUCUAAGCCGUGGGCCGCGGGUUCGAGUCCUGCCCGGCGCGCCA
rnacentral:tRNA from 1 species